rnacentral:rRNA from 1 species
GGAUUAGUGGCGAACGGGUGAGUAACACGUGGGCAAUCUGCCCUGCACUCUGGGACAAGCCCUGGAAACGGGGUCUAAUACCGGAUAUGACGCGUGACCGCAUGGUCUGCGCGUGGAAAGCUCCGGCGGUGCAGGAUGAGCCCGCGGCCUAUCAGCUUGUUGGUGGGGUAAUGGCCUACCAAGGCGACGACGGGUAGCCGGCCUGAGAGGGCGACCGGCCACACUGGGACUGAGACACGGCCCAGACUCCUACGGGAGGCAGCAGUGGGGAAUAUUGCACAAUGGGCGAAAGCCUGAUGCAGCGACGCCGCGUGAGGGAUGACGGCCUUCGGGUUGUAAACCUCUUUCAGCAGGGAAGAAGCGAAAGUGACGGUACCUGCAGAAGAAGCGCCGGCUAACUACGUGCCAGCAGCCGCGGUAAUACGUAGGGCGCGAGCGUUGUCCGGAAUUAUUGGGCGUAAAGAGCUCGUAGGCGGCUUGUCACGUCGGAUGUGAAAGCCCGGGGCUUAACCCCGGGUCUGCAUUCGAUACGGGCAGGCUAGAGUUCGGUAGGGGAGAUCGGAAUUCCUGGUGUAGCGGUGAAAUGCGCAGAUAUCAGGAGGAACACCGGUGGCGAAGGCGGAUCUCUGGGCCGAUACUGACGCUGAGGAGCGAAAGCGUGGGGAGCGAACAGGAUUAGAUACCCUGGUAGUCCACGCCGUAAACGUUGGGAACUAGGUGUGGGCGACAUUCCACGUUGUCCGUGCCGCAGCUAACGCAUUAAGUUCCCCGCCUGGGGAGUAC